rnacentral:rRNA from 1 species
AUUGAACGCUGGCGGCAGGCUUAACACAUGCAAGUCGAACGAGUGGCGGACGGGUGAGUAAUGCUUGGGAAUCUGGCUUAUGGAGGGGGAUAACGACGGGAAACGGUCGCUAAUACCGCGUACCAUAGGAUGAGCCCAGGUGGGAUUAGGUGGUUGGUGGGGUAAUGGCCUACCAAGCCGACGAACUCUAGCUGGUCUGAGAGGAUGACCAUCCACACCGGGACGAAGACACGGCCCGGACUCCUACGGGAGGCGGCAGUGGGGAUUAUUGGCCAAUGGGCGCAAGCCGGAUGCAGCCAGGCCGCGUGGGGGAAAAAGGCCUUGGGGUUGUAAGGCACUUUCAGCGGGGAGGCGUUACCCGCAGAAGAAGCACCGGCUAACUCCGUGCCAGCAGCCGCGGUAAUUC